UGCCGCCGCGGUUUCAUUCGUGCCUUCCUCUCUACUCCUCCGCCUCAAAGCAGAGUCCCUCGCUGUUUCGUUUGGUUUCCAAGAAAUCUUGAGAAAAUACGGUGAAAUCACAAUCUCGUUGAAUGCUUGUUUUUUGUAUCCCUAUUAAGCAGGAACCAAACGGUGCAUUGCUAAGGAGUAAUAGUCGCGUUUCCCUCCGUUUCGUAAGAGCUUUGCUCUCUCGUUUGUCUCGAUUGGUACUGAAGCUUCCCUAAUUCAGUCUCAUUAAGAAACAUGGUUCCUAGGGUUUUGAAAUUGCUUCGCCAGGAAAGGUCUCAGUGAUUACAUCAUUUUGAUUAUUGGUUCCUGCUUUCAGAAUUCUACAGGUGGAUCGAAACUGGUAAGAUUCCUAAAGAUCUAGAUAUAGUUUAUGUAGUUGUUAAGACCACUCGUUAUACAAGGACCACCAAUCAACACAAAAUUUUGUCCUGUCCUAGGCUUUCUAUUUCAAUAUGAUGUGACGACUCAAUAUUUGGAAAUGGUUGAAGGUGGCUUCUAUAUAUAUGGCACUAUAAAUAACGAGAUAAGGGGAUAUCCAAAGUGGAAUAUCGCAUCAUAUAUGGGGGUGGUUGAUGUUAGCACUGUAUCCAGCACGGUAUGAGUUCCACGAAGCAAAGAAUUUCAAAGAAAAUGAAAGGGGGUGGUGCCUCCUCGCUUUAAGAAUUAAGAGACUAGUGGGGUUGGGAUAAAAAGAUUACCCAAAAAGACAAAGCACUGUGAUGUGGACACCACCCACCUGUGGCUGCUCCACUUAAUAUUAUCCCCAAUCUCUCGUAUGCAAGUCACUAACUGUACUUUUGGUACGAGUGUUUGGCUUUUAUUAGAAUAGAAUCUAGUCUAAAGUGUGUCCGCACAGAUUUGUGUACUGCCUUACAUUCUUCCGUAGAAAAGAUUAUUCUCAUGAACAUACCAGUAGACCAUCUCCCAUGGUCUUUGGAUGAUAUUUUUUUGCAGUUAAACUUGCAACUUACGAAAAUAUAUAUACUCAUAUGAUAUUUAUUGAAUGCUAAUUUUCAUUAGAAUUCAU